rnacentral:tRNA from 1 species
GUGGCUGUAGCUCAGUUGAUAGAGCUCCGGAUUGUGGUUCCGGCGGUCGCGGGUUUGAGCCCCGUCAGCCACC